AUGGUAUUGAACUCAAGAUUUUGAUGUCGCCAUCCCCUGCAGUGGGUGGCAAGUACAAGAAAAAAAAAAAAAGAAGACAGAGGACAGGACGUCCGCUGUGUCGCUUGGGAAGCAUGCCCGGCUGGUUGAAAAGCUGAGGUCGGCAAAGCAGAGGGUGCUGAACCUGGAGCAGGAGCCCCAGAUAGAGAGGACGCUAUCAAGAAGCAGCUGCUGGCACUACUAGUGGACAAUGUCCCGUCUGGCAGGGUUGGGU
rnacentral:lncRNA from 1 species